GGCACCAUGGCGUAGUUUUUCAACGCGUCGGCGUACAUAUCCUGAAGGGUGCUGGUUAGAAUCCAGCUGGUACCC
rnacentral:tRNA from 1 species